rnacentral:tRNA from 1 species
GGCAGUGUAGCAUAGUGGGUAAGGAGCUGGUCUGGUAAACUGAAGGCCACAGGUUCGAUUCCCACUGCCG